GGAGCGGGAGGGGAGGAAAGUCCGGGCAACACAGGGCGCCGCGCUUCCUAACGGGAAGAUCUUCGUGAGGGGAUAGCCGCGUAACAGAAAACAACCGCCGUUCCUCAGAACGGUAAGGGUGAAAAGGCGGGGUAAGAGCCCACCGCGACCAUGGUGACAUGUGCCGGCCGUACGUCUCGCGGGUUGCAAGACCAUGUAUACCGACAGUUUUAAGGACGGCCCGUCCGAUGUCGGGGGGUAGGUUGCUGAUGAGCCGGCGGGUGACCGUCGACCUAGAUAAAUGACAGAGGCCUCGAUUCGAGGUACAGAACCCGGCUUACACGCCCUG
rnacentral:RNase_P_RNA from 1 species